UACGUAGGGGGCAAGCGUUGUCCGGAUUUAUUGGGCGUAAAGAGCGUGUAGGCGGCCUGGCAGGUCAGCUGUGAAAACUCGAGGCUCAACCUCGAGACGUCGGUUGAAACCACCUGGCUAGAGUCCGGAAGAGGAGAAUGGAAUUCCCGGUGUAGCGGUGAAAUGCGCAGAUAUCAGGAGGAACACCGGUGGCGAAGGCGGGUCUCUGGGCCGAUACUGACGCUGAGGAGCGAAAGCGUGGGGAGCGAACAGG
rnacentral:rRNA from 1 species